GGGAGGGGGGGCUAGCGUUGUUCGGAAUUACUGGGCGUAAAGCGCGCGUAGGGCGGACCUGCAAGUCGGGGGGGGUGAAAGCCCGAGGGCUCAACCUCGGAACUGCCUUCGAUACUGCGGGUCUCGAGUCCGGGAGAGGUGAGUGGAAUUCCUAGUGUAGAGGUGAAAUUCGUAGAUAUUAGGAAGAACACCAGUGGCGAAGGCGGCUCACUGGCCCGGUACUGACGCUGAGGCGCGAAAGCGUGGGGAGCAAACAGGAUUAGAUACCCUGGUAGUCCACGCCGUAAACUAUGGGUGCUAGCCGUCGGUCGGCAUGCCGGUCGGUGGCGCAGCAAACGCAUUAAGCACCCCGCCUGGGGAGUACGGUCGCAAAGAUUA
rnacentral:rRNA from 1 species